rnacentral:miRNA from 1 species
GGUGCCCACUUGAAAACACACAUUCUCACUCCCCUUCCUGAGAUUCUGACUGAUUCAAGUCUAGUGUGGAGUCCAGGAAUUUGCAUUAUUAAC